GACGAACGCUGGCGGCGUGCUUAACACAUGCAAGUCGAACGGAAAGGCCCGCAUCAUUUUUGUGGGGGGGGUGCUCGAGUGGCGAACGGGUGAGUAACACGUGGGUGAUCUGCCCUGUACUUCGGGAUAAGCUUGGGAAACUGGGUCUAAUACCGGAUAGGACCAUGGUUUAGUGUCUCAUGGUGGAAAGAUUAUUGUUUUGGUGCAGGAUGAGCUCGCGGCCUAUCAGCUUGUUGGUGGGGUAAUGGCCUACCAAGGCGUCGACGGGUAGCCGGCCUGAGAGGGUGGACGGCCACAUUGGGACUGAGAUACGGCCCAGACUCCUACGGGAGGCAGCAGUGGGGAAUAUUGCACAAUGGGCGCAAGCCUGAUGCAGCGACGCCGCGUGGGGGAUGACGGCCUUCGGGUUGUAAACUCCUUUCGUUAGGGACGAAGCCACAUUUUUUGGGUGUGGUGACGGUACCUUUGUUAAGAAGCACCGGCUAACUACGUGCCAGCAGCCGCGGUAAUACGUAGGGUGCGAGCGUUGUCCGGAAUUAUUGGGCGUAAAGAGCUCGUAGGUGGUUUGUUGCGUCGUCUGUGAAAUUCCGGGGCUUAACUUCGGGGUGGCAGGCGAUACGGGCAUAACUAGAGUGCUGUAGGGGAGACUGGAAUUCCUGGUGUAGCGGUGGAAUGCGCAGAUAUCAGGAGGAACACCGAUGGCGAAGGCAGGUCUCUGGGCAGUAACUGACGCUGAGGAGCGAAAGCAUGGGGAGCGAACAGGAUUAGAUACCCUGGUAGUCCAUGCUGUAAACGGUGGGCGUUAGGUGUGGGGACCGGUUUGGUUUCUGUGCCGUAGCUAACGCAUUAAGCGCCCCGCCUGGGGAGUACGGCCGCAAGGCUAAAACUCAAAGGAAUUGACGGGGGCCCGCACAAGCGGCGGAGCAUGUGGAUUAAUUCGACGCAACGCGAAGAACCUUACCUGGGUUUGACAUGCACCAGACGGUUGUAGAGAUACGUACCUCCCUUUGUGGUUGGUGUGCAGGUGGUGCAUGGUUGUCGUCAGCUCGUGUCGUGAGAUGUUGGGUUAAGUCCCGCAACGAGCGCAACCCUUGUCUUAUGUUGCCAGCACUUUGGGUGGGGACUCAUGAGAGACUGCCGGGGUUAACUCGGAGGAAGGUGGGGAUGACGUCAAAUCAUCAUGCCCUUUAUGCCCAGGGCUUCACACAUGCUACAAUGGUUAGUACAACGCGCUGCGAACCUGUGAGGGUGAGCGAAUCGCUGAAAGCUAAUCUCAGUUCGGAUUGGGGUCUGCAACUCGACCCCAUGAAGUCGGAGUCGCUAGUAAUCGCAGAUCAGCAAUGCUGCGGUGAAUACGUUCCCGGGCCU
rnacentral:rRNA from 1 species